rnacentral:lncRNA from 1 species
UUUCAGGCAGGGAGGAGCCUGUAAUGUAAAUUCUUCCUAAACAGUUUCAAUCAUUCCUUCUUAUAGUACAACCUUGAGAGGUACCUGAAUCCUUCACUUAAGCCUUUGAGGAACUCUGUGGGGUGAAGAGCCACAAGAAGAUGCCAUAUUGGAAGCAGAAAGCAAGCCCUCGCCAGGCACUGAAUCUGCUUGAUCUGGGACUUCCCAGCAUCUAGAACUAGAAACAGAACCAAUGGGAUGUACAUAAAGAGAUUUAUUGUAAGAAAUCGGCACAUGUGAUUAUGGAGGCUGACAAAUCCCAAGAUCUGCAGGGGGAGGUGGCAAGCUGGAGACUCAGAAGCUGUUUCGGAAAAAAAGAAAUAGAGGUUUAAAGAACACAGAACAUACCUUCAACCGUCAUGGCAGGGUGGUGGACCACGAGGAAAUGACUGUGACAAGUCAGCUAAUCUUGGAACAAAUUAGGGAAGGAAAUGAUGAACAACAGCUGCAAAGAAAAAAAUGCAAGAAUUUGCAAAUGAUGUCCACUUUGUCUUUAAUUUACCCAAUGCUGGAAAGAAUACUGGUCACCUCACUUUUCGGUAAUAUACGCACCAUCGUCUUCAGACACAGAAGAAUGAGAAAUAAUUAAAAGUCACUGAGACGGCUCUCACCUCCUGUACUUCAUUAUCACACAAUGUCUUGCUAGAGAGGCAUUUUCAUUCCAGAUGAAUAUGUGGUUGAUUAGCGCUUUUCCAAAAGCAAAUUGUCUGAGGUUCUCUGUACUGCAUUUCCUGGUACCAAUUCCUCAUUAAGGUGAUUCAUGAAUUUUUUUUCAAUUAGGUUCGUAUGUCUUUUUAAAAAUCAAUUUGGUGUCUACCUUUCAACUAAAUGAAUGAGCCAGUGUAUCAUUCAGACAGGUGUGGACUUGCAUAACUAUUAAGUUAAAUGAGCCUUUCAUAGAAUUGAGAAAAUGGGCAAGGAUUAAAAGUGGAAUCUGAACAGGAAUCACUAUUUCAAAAAGAACAAAUUAGAAAAUAUGAAUAAACAGGUGAACUACAUGAGCCCUUCCAUUCAGAAUAGCAUGGCGGGUAAGCAUGGGCUCUGGAGUCAGACUUCUCUGAGUUCCAAUCUUGGCUCUUUUGCUAACUUCCUUUGUAAUUAAACAAGGUCGUAACACUUUCCACCUCUCAGCUUUUUCAUGUGUGAGAUGAGAUCAUGAUAGCAGCUGUGUCCUUGGGUGGUGGUGAGAAUUAAAUGGGAAAUCGCCUUUAAAGCACUGAACUGAGCACACAGUAAACAUUUAAUAAACGUUAGUUCCUAUUAUUCCUAAAAUAAUACUAUUCAUUUAGAAUCACUUAUUAGUAAUCAAUGCUAACUUGACCUUAACGAUUAAAAUAAAGAUAAAAAUUCAUGGGCUAUCGAAACCUAUAAUGUGGUACUCAUUAUUCAAGUGGAAUGAAAACGCUGAAAAGAAAAUGUUUUUUCAAAAUUUCAUCUGGCAAAUAUUGCCAAAUAGUUUAAAGCAACCCUACAUGUUUUUUCCAUACCUCAUUAUCCUGUGCCAUGAGGGGGAAGAAAGGAUGUAUUUUAAUUGUUGUGACCACCUUCAUCUAUUGAAGUCUUGAUUUUUCAGGCACCUCCUUCGUUUUAUUAAAUAUUUUAUGCUGUGCAUGUGAAAUAUGUAGUCCAUGUACCCAGGGAUAUUUCUGUCUACUAGUUUUCCUUGUUCCUAAAAACAGAAAUGAGGAAUGCCUACGGCUAAAAAGAAAAAAAAAACUGUCUUCCUGUCAGCAGCUCCUUCUGCUGAUAUGUCACCGAUGCCAAAUUAUAUAUUCACGUAAUUUGCAUUUUCCCACUCUUAGUUUUUUUUUUAAAUCAUUAGGUCAAAAGCUAAAAUACAUUCCUUUUUAUAGCAGAAAAUUGCUCCUGUUUGUUCAAAGCCAAUUUGAAAGAUUUGAUCAUCAGAAAAACAUAUAUGUGUCUAUAUAUAAUUUCUAAAUUUGGCUUCAAACCCCUACUUAUUUAGUAGUGCCACACAAUAGCUUUUUUUAAUGUAAGAUUUUCCUUUAAGAAAUGGGA